AGAGUUUGAUCCUGGCUCAGAGUGAACGCUGGCGGCAGGCCUAACACAUGCAUGUCGAACGGCAGCACAGCAGUAGCAAUACUGUGGGUGGCGAGUGGCGGACGGGUGAGGAAUGCGUCGGAAUCUGCCUAUUUGUGGGGGAUAACGUAGGGAAACUUACGCUAAUACCGCAUACGACCUACGGGUGAAAGUGGGGGACCUUUGGGCCUCACGCAGAUAGAUGAGCCGACGCCGGAUUAGCUAGUUGGCGGGGUAAAGGCCCACCAAGGCGACGAUCCGUAGCUGGUCUGAGAGGAUGAUCAGCCACACUGGGGCUGAGACACGGCCCAGACUCCUACGGGAGGCAGCAGUGGGGAAUAUUGGACAAUGGGCGCAAGCCUGAUCCAGCCAUGCCGCGUGUGUGAAGAAGGCCUUCGGGUUGUAAAGCACUUUUGUCCGGAAAGAAAUCCUUUCGAUUAAUACUCGGGAGGGAUGACGGUACCGG
rnacentral:rRNA from 1 species